rnacentral:rRNA from 1 species
GACGUAGGGCGCGAGCGUUGUCCGGAUUUAUUGGGCGUAAAGAGCUCGUAGGCGGCUUGUCGCGUCGGAUGUGAAAACCCGAGGCUCAACUUCGGGCUUGCAUUCGAUACGGGCAGGCUCGAGUUCGGUAGGGGAGACUGGAAUUCCUGGUGUAGCGGUGAAAUGCGCAGAUAUCAGGAGGAACACCGGUGGCGAAGGCGGGUCUCUGGGCCGAUACUGACGCUGAGGAGCGAAAGCGUGGGGAGCGAACAGG